rnacentral:rRNA from 1 species
CUCUUUAAACGUAGUCAACCUGCCCUGGAGAUGCGAACACCCUCGGGAAACUGGGAUUAAUUCGUGAUAGGUCAUCUCAUCUGGAAAGAGAGAUGGCUGAAAGGGGUGCGCCCGCUUCUUCUGCGUACUUGCUCCAGGAUGGGACUGCGUCCGAUCAGGCUGUUGGCGGGGUAAUGGCCCACCAAGCCAGUAACCGGUACGGGCCUUGAGAGAGGUGGCCCGGAGAUGGACACUGAGAGAAGGGUCCAGGUCCUACGGGGCGCAGCAGGCGCGAAACCUUCGCAAUGCGCGAAAGCGUGACGAGGUUAAUCCGAGUGAUCCCCGCUGAGGGGAUCUUUUGUCAGCUGUAAAUAGGCAGGCGAAUAAGGGGAGGGCAAGCCUGGUGUCAGCCGCCGCGGUAAUACCAGCUCCUCGAGUGGUCGGGGCGAUUAUUGGGCCUAAAGCAUCCGUAGCCGGUUCCGUAGGUCCUCUGUUAAAUCCAACCGCUUAACGGUUGACCUGCAGAGGAUACCGCGGGACUAGGAGGCGGGAUAGGCGGACGGUACUCCGCGUGUAGGGGUAAAAUCCUUUGAUCCGCGGAAGA